rnacentral:rRNA from 1 species
UACGUAGGGUGCGAGCGUUAAUCGGAAUUACUGGGCGUAAAGCGUGCGCAGGCGGUUCGUUAAGUUCGAUGUGAAAGCCCCGGGCUCAACCUGGGAACUGCAUUUGAAACUGGCGGGCUUGAGUAUGGCAGAGGGGGGUGGAAUUCCGCGUGUAGCAGUGAAAUGCGUAGAGAUGCGGAGGAACACCGAUGGCGAAGGCAGCCCCCUGGGCCAAUACUGACGCUCAGGCACGAAAGCGUGGGGAGCAAACAGG